AAACCGUUGAAAGGGAAGCGAAUGGAACCAGCAAUUCGCCUUACCGGAUUCAGUUGCUUGCGCUCUAUUACGUGCUUGUUCUCGAUCUUCGUAGACGGGACUUGCACAGACGGCUGAGUGUAGGCGGCGCAUUUCUGGUAGGCGAGUGUCAGCAUGAGUUAGCCACGGGUUAGAAAUUUGUGAGAAAGGUAGAUCCUUUGGGAUUGUUAAGUGUCGCAAUCAAAUGACCCGAGGGUGACUGUGGCUUGUCGCAAUGCAUGCCUCCCCUUUUGGGGCAGGCUGGUGUCCUGUCUUGUUGAUGCGGUUGUCGAAUGCGAUGGACGGCUUUUGCCUGUGCGUCCGAACUGCUGCCCGUCUACAGGAUGGUGUGUGCACACCAAGCGUUGACGAUGCUGACGAAAAUACGGUUCCAUCCGACCCGUCUUGAAACACGGACCAAGGAGUCUAACAUGUGCGCGAGUCUGUGGGUGAUCGAAGCCCGAUGGCAAAAUGAAAGUGAAGGCAACUUUGUUUGCUGAGGUGAGAAGCCUUGUCUUUGUGGCAGAGCUGCAUCAUCGACCGACCUAUUCUAAUCUUAGAAAGGUUUGAGUAUGAGCGUAUCUGUUGGGACCCGAAAGAUGGUGAACUAUGCCUGAAUAGAGUGAAGCCAGCGGAAACACUGGUGAAGGCUCGUAGCGAUUCUGACGUGCAAAUCGAUCGUCCAAUUUGGGCAUAGCGGCGAAAGACUAAUCGAACCAUCUAGUAGCUGGUUCCCUCCGAAGUUUCCCACAGGAUAGCUGGGACUCGGAUGCAGU
rnacentral:rRNA from 1 species